rnacentral:rRNA from 1 species
GACGAACGCUGGCGGCGUGCCUAAUACAUGCAAGUCGAACGCUUCUUUCCUCCCGAGUGCUUGCACUCAAUUGGAAAGAGGAGUGGCGGACGGGUGAGUAACACGUGGGUAACCUACCCAUCAGAGGGGGAUAACACUUGGAAACAGGUGCUAAUACCGCAUAACAGUUUAUGCCACAUGGCAUAAGAGUGAAAGGCGCUUUCGGGUGUCGCUGAUGGAUGGACCCGCGGUGCAUUAGCUAGUUGGUGAGGUAACGGCUCACCAAGGCCACGAUGCAUAGCCGACCUGAGAGGGUGAUCGGCCACACUGGGACUGAGACACGGCCCAGACUCCUACGGGAGGCAGCAGUAGGGAAUCUUCGGCAAUGGACGAAAGUCUGACCGAGCAACGCCGCGUGAGUGAAGAAGGUUUUCGGAUCGUAAAACUCUGUUGUUAGAGAAGAACAAGGACGUUAGUAACUGAACGUCCCCUGACGGUAUCUAACCAGAAAGCCACGGCUAACUACGUG